UGGAGACAGAUCAAAUAGCUGAAGAGGAAGUGGAGGACAGAUGGAUUAGGAGCUAGGCCUGUCCGGAUGCUCUAGUGAGAGUGGCAUGCCUGCCUCCAGUGUGGGUGGUGGUGGAGAAGAGGUAUAAAAAGCAGCAGCAGUGAACACAUCCCCUCGCUCUACGAGGACUCCAGGCCGGUGGUGGUUGGCCUGCUCCAGGAGUCUGAGGUACGGGAGGUUCCUCCGCCCCCUCUGGACAUCGAGGUGGCCCCGGCGUACUCCGUCCGCUCCAUACUGAAUUCGAGGCGUCAGACGAGGGGCCUUCAGUACCUCGUGGAGUGGGAGGGGUACGGUCCGGAGGG